ensembl:lncRNA
UUUAUUUUUGAUGAAUUUUUUAUUUUUUUUUAAAGUUGAGAUAAUUUAGAGUGUCCAAUUAGCCUAAUUUGGUUUGUGUUUUUUAAUGAUGUGGGAGGAAACCGGAGUAACCCGGGGAAAACCCACGCUAACACGUGGAGAACACAGAACUCCACACAGAAACAGGAGGAGGUGUUUCUGUGAGGCUACAGCGCUGAACACUGAGCCACCGUGCUGCCCUUUGGAUAGGGGAGGACAGAGAGGUGAGAAAGGGGUGAGAAAAGGCUGAGAAAGGGGUGGAGAAUGGGGGAUAAGGUGGAUGGAGAGGUGAUGGUUGGAGGUGGCAAGAUGAGAAAGAUGGAAGUUAGACUGGAGAAAGAUGAGAGGAAAAGGUGUGUAAGGUGAAGAAAGAUGAAAGGAAAAGGUGUAGAAGGUGAAGAAAGAUGAGAGGAAAAGGUGUAGAAGGUGAAGAAAGAUGAAAGAAAAAGGUGAAGAAGGUGAAGAAAGAUGAGAGGAAAAGGUGUGGAAGGUGAAGAAAGCAGGUUUAGUGGAACCAGCUCCAGCAACCUGCUGACUUCUUCUCUUUUUUCUGCUUUUCCAUCUUCUGCUCUUCCUUCUCUUUUGGCUCAGUGUGUUUGAAGAACCUGAAGAAUUUCUUCUUCUUUUUCUUGCUGAGAAGCUCCUGCAGCUCCUCAUUUUCUUUCUCCAGUAUUUUAGUAACUUCC